rnacentral:rRNA from 1 species
UAGGGAAUCUUCCGCAAUGGACGCAAGUCUGACGGAGCAACGCCGCGUGAGUGAAGAAGGUUUUCGGAUCGUAAAACUCUGUUGUUAGAGAAGAACAAGUGCUAGAGUAACUGUUAGCGCCUUGACGGUAUCUAACCAGAAAGCCACGGCUAACUACGUGCCAGCAGCCGCGGUAAUACGUAGGUGGCAAGCGUUGUCCGGAUUUAUUGGACGUAAAGCGAGCGCAGGCGGUUCCUUAAGUCUGAUGUGAAAGCCCCCGGCUCAACCGGGGAGGGUCAUUGGAAACUGGGGAACUUGAGUGCAGAAGAGGAGAGUGGAAUUCCAUGUGUUGCGGUGAAAUGCGUAGAUAUAUGGAGGAACACCAGUGGCGAAGGCGACUCUCUGGUCUGUAACUGACGCUGAGGCUCGAAAGCGUGGGUAGCAAACAGGAUUAGAUACCCUGGUAGUCCACGCCGUAAACGAUGAGUGCUAAGUGUUGGAGGGUUUCCGCCCUUCAGUGCUGCAGUUAACGCAUUAAGCACUCCGCCUGGGGAGUACGACCGCAAGGUUG